GCUGAAUCACAGGAAGACAAGGGAGUGGCUGAAUUGAGAGAUCAUGAGUCACUAAGAGAUAUGAGUGACUGUGGGGUGGAAGUAAAAUACGAAAAGCUGCAAAGAGAUUAUGAGCGCCAAAGUAAGGAAUUAACAGAGAUGAGGAGAGCCUUUGAAGGGCUUAAGAGGGAGAACCAACUUAAGAGUAAAGAGUGUCAAGAAGCAUGCAAAUCUUUACAGGAGCUUCAAAAUGAGCUUAUGCGCAAAUCAAUGCAUGUUGGAACAAAUGAACUUAAGAGUAAGGAAUUAACUGCCUAACACUUGCUUGCAUAUGGAACAAAUGCUGUUAUAUCCAUUUGUAGCCUUUGCAAUUGAGGGACAAGUGAAAGAGAAGAGCAGAUGGUUCUCAUCAUUGAGGGACCUGACCAGAAAAUUGAAGAUAAUGAAAAUGGAACACAUCAAGCUAUCAGAGGAGGUAUCCAUGUAUAAUAAUUGCUUCAAGGAUAUCAAUGAAAUUGGCUCUUCAAUUCUGUCCAGAAUAAACCAGCAAGCAGAUUUGCAUGAAGAUCUCAAGAUUAAAUUUCUCAGAGGGGCCAAAGAAAGGAAAGAACUCUACAACAUGGUUCUAGAAUUGUUAGCCACAUUCAAUAUUCCAUAUUAAAAUCUGAAAUAGGUUGAAAAUUUUGAAACUUAAAAUUUUCAUUUCUUGCAGGAAACAUAAGAGUCUUUUGCCGGUGUAGGCCUCUAAAUUCUGAAGAAAUAGCAGCAGGAGCUUCAAUGGCUGUUGAUUUUGAAUCCGCGACAGAUGGUGAACGCACUGUACUAUCAAAUGGUGCUCCUAGAAAACCGUUAAGUUUGAUGCUGUUUUUGGCCCUCAAAAGACCAAGCUGAUGUUUUCCAAGACAGGGCUCCAUUGGCUACCUCAGUUCUAGAUGGCUACAAUGUCUGCAUUUUUGCUUAUGGACAGAUAGGGACAGGAAAACCUUUUACAAUGGAGGGUACAAAAGAAGCCCGUGGAGUAAAUUUUAGGACUCUUGAGGAAUUGUUUCGCAUAAUUAAUGAGUGGCAGAAGUUAUAUCGAUAUGAGAUAUCAGUCAGUGUCUUAGAAGUAUACAAUGAACAGAUAAGAGAUUUACUGGUUUCAGGCUCUCAGCAAGGCUCGGAGCCAAAAUGGCGGGGCUUGAAAUAGGGCAAGUGGGUGAAGGAAUGCAUCAUGUCCCAGGGCUUGUUGAAGCACAUGUAAACAACAUGAAUGAGGUCUGGGAAGUCCUCCAGACUGGCAGUGAUGCAAAGGCUGUUGGCUCAACCAAUGCCAAUGAGCAUAGCAGUAGAUCCCACUGCAUACAUUGUUGAAUGGGGAAUGCACAAAGAGCAAGCUAUGAUUGGUGGACCCAGCUGGAAGUGAACGAGUAGCAAAAACAGAAGUGCAUGGAGAAAGGCUCAAGGAAACUCAAAAUAUUAACAGAUGUCGUAUCUGCUCUUGCUACUAAAAGCCCUCACAUUCCUUUCAAGUUAUAAAAAUACAGAGAUGAGUACUUCUAAAUUAGUAAGAACAUAGAAAUCAGUAGUGUCUCAUAGGUUUUAAACUUAACUGUACUUUAAUCAUGCAGGAAUUCAAAGCUUACACGCUUGCUUCAAGACUCUCUAGUUUGUUAGGGGGAGAUUCAAAGACACUCAUGUUUGUACAAAGCAGUCGUCAGGAGAAUGACCUUGGUGAGACCCUAUGCUCUCUGAACUUUGCAAAUAGAGUGAGAGGGAUAGAGUUGGGUCCGGCAAAGAAGCAAAUGGACUGCUCAGAACUUCUGGGAUGCAAACAGAUGGUACAACCAGCAACUUAUUGGCAACAUUUCUUAAGCCUAAUAUAUCAUUUUGAUGUUACCAAUGACAAUUCUUGUCUGGACGUAAAAGGUGGAGAAAUCAAAGUCUCAGUUGAAUCAGACUCCGACUUUUACUUCUUUGUUUAAUGCCUUUAAUUAACCUUGUAAAACACUAUAUCAUUGUUAAUACAAAGGCAGGGAAAGUGUGAUUGAGAAAGGGCUUGGCCCUUACCACAGUA